rnacentral:rRNA from 1 species
GACAGAGGGUGCAAACGUUGUUCGGAAUUACUGGGCGUAAAGCGUGUGUAGGCGGCCAACUAAGUCCGACGUGAAAUCCCCAGGCUUAACCUGGGAACUGCGUCGGAUACUGGAUGGCUUGAAUCCGGGAGAGGGAUGCGGAAUUCCAGGUGUAGCGGUGAAAUGCGCAGAUAUCAGGAGGAACACCGGUGGCGAAGGCGGAUCUCUGGGCCUUACCUGACGCUCAGGUGCGAAAGCUAGGGGAGCGAACAGG